ACUAAUUAAGUGAUAGCAGGUGGCACAAUGACUGCUACAAUCUUCUCUGAUGUGCAGAGAGAGAUGCAUGGUUCACUGUCUAAAACACUCAGGAAUAGUAACAAUUUGCUAAAGCAGUAUUCUGUCCCAAGAUGCAGAAUAAGGAUUCACUUUGAUUUAACACUUCCUUAUCACAUCAAAGAGGUGAAGGGACAUCUUAUGGGUUGGCUUAGGAAAAAAAAAGUACUACCAGUUCAGCUUCUACACUUGCAUCUGACGUUUCUUGGUAUAACAGAAUUAAAGUAUGAAAUUAAUUCCAAGAGAGUCAUGUAAUUCUAAAAUAUCAGCCACCUUCCUUUAAAUUGCAACUGGCCUAAAUUCAUCAUUAAUGCUUUUAAGUUCCUCAAUUCAGAAUUGCUAUAGAUGUACUAUAGCAAUAGAGUCUUGUAAGUCAAGCAAACUGGAAAUGCUGUAGUAAAAUAAAUAUUUCUCUGUCAAUAAAAGCACUCAAUACUUUUAAGAAUAUAUGUGGUCAUUAAAUACAUUUGAGUUUGAACUCAAAUUUACUAAGCAGUAUUUGCACAUUAUUUUUACAGCAGGAUUUGAAGAUUAUUCCCAAUAUCACUGAGUUAAGACAAAUAAUUCUCCAGUCUUGUGAGUUAUUUCAGAGCUUAUUUUUCUUGUCCUUUCUGCUCUAUGGUCAGACUGAAGUAAGGCUAAGUCAUCACCCACAAUUAGUUUUCCAGAUAAGUUAUGGUUAGUUUUAAAACUAUGAGAUGUGUUUAAGAAGCUACUCUCUUUUAUUUGGACUUCCACGUGCUUGUGGAGUGUGCCCUCAGUUUAGGGAUGGCAGGGGAGCAGAUCUGCUGAAGAAAAACCAUGCUGUGCAAGAAUGCAACCACCAUAUGCCUAAGAGGCAAAAGAAGUGAUUGUUACAAAUGAUGAAAAAUAAAUGUUAUCUAAUUUCUGAAAACAUCUUAUCUAGUUUUAUGUCUCUGUAGCAUUCAUUUUAGUUUUGUUACUUAGUUGCUUACUACAGAUCAAAAGCAUGGCUGAUAAGACUUAAGUUUAGAUAUAUUUGUAACAUGCUGUGGUAUCUUACAGCAUAGCUAGUUCGUUCAAACAAUUCCUGCCUUCUCCCUCUGUAUCUUGCAAAGCCACAAUUUCAAGCAACAUUUUUGCUAUCUGACUUUCUACAGGUGAAUACAAGAGAAAGCCAGAUCUGGCAGUAGUAGGUGAAAAACUAUUUUUUCCUCAGGAUGUUAUGCAUUACGUUGUGGUGACAUUCUCAGUGAUGACAUGUGCAAAUUAAAGCUACCCUACUCUUCUUCUUCCUCUAAAACUCACAUAGUUUUAUGUGCUAUGAUAACCACAAGUACCAUGCAGAAUGUGUCCUUAGCAAGGGCAAAAAAGAAAGGUUCUACAACUUGGAAGCCUAAAUGAGCCUUUUACUUUAGAAUUAAAUGUGAAAGCUUGUGAAAAUCACUCAUCUUCAUCUUCUAAUGUUUUAAUAGAACUUUAUGGAAGGAAACUAAACUUCUGAUUCCAAAAAAAUGCCUUAUCUCCUCCAUGAAUACCAAACUGCUCAGCAUUUAGAAUACUAUCAUACAGAUGUUGUUCAGUGAAUUGAUAUCACAGUUGCAUCUUUUCUAGGACAAAAUUUGAACAAAUUUCCUGUAGUGAACAUGACAAAUACCUCCCUCUCUGUGGCUAAAAUAAAAAACUACUGCUGCACCCCUGGAUAUUCAAUUACCUAUGCAAAUGGGAAUAAUGGUAGACAGUUACUCAGAGACAGCUACUGGAGAAACUUGAACUUGUUGUUCAACUAAAGAAAAUAAUAUUAUCAUACUAUAGGCAUGAGCCCAGGUCUCUUACCUUCAUAUGCCACUGAUUAGUUCAGCCUUAGCUGAACAAAAAUCCUUAAUCUUCUCUUUUUAAUAUUGAAGAGGUAAACCCUCUUUCACCUGCGUGUGGAGUCUCCGUUUCAUCAAAGCUCAGGAGAUUCCAGCAACAAAAUCAAUGUAUGCAUGUUCAGAGCAAUUUUCAGGGUUUUGUAAGACAAAUCUUUCAAAUGGGAGCUAGUUUAAUGCUAUUGAGCUGAAUUUCGAUCUGACAGAGUGAGUGAACAACACAGAAACAGUUCACUUACCACUGCUCACACUACAGGAGGUGGGAAUCAGGUACAGGUCUGUACAAAUACAGCUGUGCAAUUUCUCAGUAAACUCUUACCCUACCUAAUACAAUGUUAAAUGUAACCAUACAGGGUUUAAACAAACAAAGACUUAAGAAAGAAAUGCAAUUUAUUUCUCUACUAUAAUGACUGACAAUUAUGGUUUUCUCAUACAAAGUAGUGAAAAUUAAGACUAGCUCUGCUAGAUUUAAUAGAGUUGUGCUACUGCUAAGCUGAUUUUAACUGAAACAUUUUCAGAUUCUGUGUCCUAACAGAAAACUGUAUCUGAACUAUGAUCUACAAAUAUCCUGUUCUGCAUUUCCCUCUGUUUCAAAACUUCCAACAACUUGCAUUCUGGAUUUUUUUUUUUUUUUGGAAGAAAAAAAAGAACAUUUAUAAAAGACUCAAUUUUAUUGCCACACGUUUUAGGUUAAUAUGAGCUGUAGUAUAGCUUUGCGAAGACAGAUUCUUUUGUUCCUGUGCUCUUAUUCUUUGAAUGCCAAUACUUCAAUCAGCUUACAAUCCAAGACAAUUCAUUCUUCUUCUGAGAAAAUAGUAUUAUAGCCACAUGUCCAUAUCACCAUUACAUCAUGGCAGUCUCCACAAUCAUACAUCUGAUUAGAAAAAUGAUCACUAGUCAUUUCUGGAGCUAUUCAGUAUCUGGAAUAAUAGAGUAUAUGCUUCCUCUGUACUAUUUAGAUUCCUUCCUUCUAAUAAACAAACUAAUGAGACUUCUACAAUGCUUGAACAUACAACCAGAGUGGCAAAGUGCAAACUAAAAUGAAUCAAACAAAAAACGCCAAUACUUUUAAUAUGUAUGUUACAGUGGCAACGUGCCCACAUUGGCUCUUGACAGUUCCUGAUUUAUAAAUAGGGCAAUAUUCUACUAACCAGGGACUAGAGGACAACUUUUACACACGUCUAAUUCAAAUACACAGUUCCAGGUCCUUAAAAAUAUAAAUAUCAUCUUCUUCUGCCAUUAUUCAUUUCAAAUCCACAGCUCUAAGUAAACAAGAAAUGUGACUGUUGUGUUAACUCUGUGUUAGCCCUAAAUAUUCCUCUUUUCAGGUUGUGCAGGUGAGGUAAUGAAGUUCUCUUCAAAAGAGACAAAUUAGUACCAUUCCUUCUGAUGUGCUUAAAUAUCUGCAGAAUUUUGGUUGUUUAUAUAAUACAUUUUUGUAAUCCAUGCAGAAAUACUAGAUGGAAUAAUGUAGCAAUGCAUCUUUCACACACUGUAAAAUAUAAACAAAUCAGUAUAAAUUAUAAGAGUGAAAAAAAUACAGGACCCAGGGUAGGUUCCUCAUAUUAGCAAAAUUCCAGCAGGCUAGCCAUCUUACUUACAAUAAAAAUGUCUAUUAUCUGGUGUAAUUGAAUAACUCUCUGAUAAUUACAUCAGCAUUUUAAUAGUAUAUAAAUAACCUCUCCCCUAAUUACCAUUUUGUUAAAUUUUUCAUAUAUUGCAGUGCUAUGAAAGGAGGUUCUUGGUAAAGUACUUUACCCUUUCAACAACAAUUAAUAAUUCAAUUAACAGGUCUUUUUUUUUAAAACAAAAGCUCACGGAGAAAGAGCAAGGAGGUCUACAGUUGAAAGGAGAGCUCUCUGUUAUGCUAUAAUCACGGCUUCAUGGUUAUAGUAGUAUAAAAUUUGUUCAUGGCUUUUUCUCUUUCACUGCAGCCCCUAAAUAGAAAUGACACCUGCUUUUUGGUGCUGUGAAUAAAAUCCUGUGCACAUGACUCAAAAUACAAGUGAACCUAGCUCCUUUGGAACUUAAAAAGAGGCAUUUCCACAUGCAAAUUUAUUUUUCACAUGUGAAUUUGUGUAUUUGUUUUUAAAAGAAUCCGUAGAGCCAGCCAUGUCGUAGAAGUCUUGACAUUAUGAAUUAGAGGGGAAAUACAUUGCCAAAAGUAGAAACCAAAUUUUCUCCCACCAAACAUUUAGACAGUCACACUUUCCUUCUCCCUGGUGUCAGGGAAGGAAAGUGAAAUGCCUGGCUCAGAAAAGCACUGCUGAACAGAAGAUGCAGUCCUCACUCAUCCAUAGCCUGAGUGAGAAGCCAAGCAUCUGAAAAGCUUUGAAUCAUGGGUGACCCUGUAGCAAAACAGAAUUGUGUUAAAUGAACGGCUGACAAUCACAACUGCGGUUCACAUAGCAGUAAUAUUCAGAUGCUACAAUAAGAUCUGCAACAUUAAUGUUUUCAGUCUUUAUAAUCAGUGUCAUAUUUUGCUAAUUUCUAGGCUGUUUAUUUACCUCAUGACAGAGAAUGCCCCAGUUAAACUUAUAUCUACUGUCAGAAUUUCAAAAUGUCAUCUCAAGUUUUACAGAACCCUCAUUCUUUUUAGAAGUAAUUAGUUAAGGCAUAGUUUGCAUGGCAAUUAAAAACCACUUGCUUGCAGAAGCUUGUAAGCAUUAUGUAAUUUUUUUAAACUACAAGUACACAUGCAUAUUCUUGCCUCCAGCUUAAAUACAGUGAAUGUUGUAGUUGGUUGCACAGGAAUUGUCUCAAGAACAUAAAAGCAAGCCAAACACGAUUGUAUUCCAACUAAAAUUGCUCUCUUUAUACCGUGUAUUGAAACUUGAUAACUGUUGGUUAUAAAAUUCCUUUGAUUUUCUGUAGGUAAUAAAAUACUUUGGCAAUUACUAUUGACAGUUCUGGAUAAUCUUGAAGGCUGCCUUGCCUGAAGAAGAUGAGUGUUACAAAUCACUCCACUGAAAGAGGGAAGAACAGCAGCAGGCAGCAGACAGGUUACAAGAGAACAAACAGAAGCAGCUACAAGCAGACUGGAAAAUUGUUGAAGCACCUGGUUCUAAUGCUUGCAGUAGGACUUUAUUAGAUGUCAUAAACUGAAUGAUGCAUUACUCUGUGGACAACUUAUAGCCUGCAAAUGUUGAGGCAAAAUGGAAGACAAAGAAUUCUUUGAAAACAAAAAGGUUAAACGUUCCUUUUUAAUUAAACAACACGUAUCAGAUGCAGGAAUACGCUCACAGAGAUUGGAGACUAUUUCUGUUACUUUUUAAUGUAUUUCUAUAUCACCUUAAUAAAUAAAAAGUAUUUUACUUUAACAA